AUACGGAGGACGCGAGCGUUAUCCGGAUUCAUUGGGUUUAAAGGGUGCGCAGGCGGCCGUGCAAGUCAGCGGUGAAAGCCCGGGGCCCAACCCCGGAAGUGCCGUUGAUACUGCAUGGCUUGAAUGCGGUCGAGGCGGGCGGAACGUGGCGUGUAGCGGGGGAAUGCGUAGAUAUGCCACAGAACGCCGAUAGCGGAGGCAGCUCGCCAGGCCUGCAUUGACGCUCGGGCACGAAAGCGUGGGGAUCGAACAGGAUUAGAUACCCUGGUAGUCCACGCCGUAAACGAUGGGCGCUCGUCGUCGGCGGCAGACAGUCGGCGGCCAAGCGAAAGCGAUAAGCGCCCCACCUGGGGAGUACGGUCGCAAGGCUGAAACUCAAAUGAAUUGACGGGG
rnacentral:rRNA from 1 species